GGGCGCGUAGCUCAGUGGAUAGAGCAUCGGCCUCCGGAGCCGAGGGUCGGGCGUUCGAAUCGCCCCGCGCUCACUA
rnacentral:tRNA from 1 species